rnacentral:lncRNA from 1 species
CCAUAGUGAGCGAGAGGCUAGGGCACCGCUGGGGGGAGCUGCCAGGCCAUCCGAGGGGCCCCAGCAUCUGAGCCAUGUCCUCCUGCAGGAAAGUACAUCAGCCAGGGGGCAGUGUCAGAGACGCAGCACUGGGAGAGGAGGACAUCGUCAGGCUGGCCCAGGACCAGGAGGAGAUGAAGGUGAACCUGCAGGAGCUGCGGGGCAGGUGUUGCAGCUUGUGGGCGACCACAAGGAGGGGCAUGGCAAAUUUUGACCAUUGCCCAGAACCCUGCUGAUGAGCCCACUCUAGGAGCCCCAGUAGCCCAGGAGCUUGGGUGUGCUGACGAGCAGGGUGGCUUUUAUCCUAGAUCACCACUGGAUUGCUGACAGAUAGAGGAGGUGGGACCCUGACUAUCACCCCUAAUCUGCAGUGGAUUUGGCUCUCGGCACUCCCAGGCUGGGAGCUGGAUACCUGCCCUGGCAGCAUGGCUCAGACUGCAUGACAGGUACGGCGUGCCCAGGAUGAUGUGCCCAGGCCUCUGGCCGCCUGAGUCCAGCCCCCCACACAACCCCC